CCUACGGGUGGCAGCAGUGGGGAAUAUUGGGCAAUGGGCGCAAGCCUGACCCAGCAACGCCGCGUGCAGGAAGAAGGCUUUCUGGUUGUAAACUUCUUUUCUCAGGGACGAAGCAAGUGACGGUACUUGCGGAAUAAGCCACGGCUAACUACGUGCCAGCAGCCGCGGUAAUACGUAGGUGGCAAGCGUUAUCCGGAUUUACUGGGUGUAAAGGGCGUGUAGGCGGGAAAGCAAGUCAGAUGUGAAAACCAUGGGCUCAACCUGUGGCCUGCAUUUGAAACUGUUUUUCUUGAGUACUGGAGAGGCAGACGGAAUUCCUAGUGUAGCGGUGAAAUGCGUAGAGAUUAGGAGGAACACCAGUGGCGAAGGCGGUCUGCUGGACAGCAACUGACGCUGAGGCGCGAAAGCGUGGGGAGCAAACAGGAUUAGAUACCCUGGUAGUC
rnacentral:rRNA from 1 species